AUCCAGGCAAUAAUAAGAUGAAUAAAAAAAAUCAGGAUAAUUCACACUUACAUGGUCAGCAAUUUAACAACACAGUUAUCAAAUGCACAAUAGAAUUUGAGGCUCAGUGUUAUUAUGAGCAGCAGAGUAAGGGAUUUCAAUAUUGGUCCAGUGCCUGUCUGUCCACUAGCAUAGCAACUUCUGUGACCUUGGAGUGUCCAAAUCUUCUUGUUUGCAGUUCCUGCCACUGCUCUGGUGACUGAAAAUUUCCACAAGGCUUAACUUGGGGACAACUGCAGAGGAAGGGAAUUUUCACAUGGCUGUGUAGACCCCAGGAAGUAUUCUCUAGUCCUAGUUCCACACCAUGCAGCUCCAAACUCCUACUGACAGUGAUGGGCUGAUGAUCCCACUCUCUUCCUUCAGGCCCUCAGUCCCUCUUCUGAGUUCUCCUGGAACAAAAUCAAUUUCAACCCAGGAAUAACUCUACCUGCUCCAUGUGUUUCCCAUCCCCAGGCUGUCCCAUCAGUUGUCCUGAAGCUGAAGAGAAGUUUCCUUCACUGCAAGGUACUGACAUAGACCUAGUGGGUUCCUUAAAAUCUAGACACUGGAAGUUCUAGAAAUGCCCAUCCGGCUCCUAUAGUGUGGCUCUUAUUAUUUACCUUACAAUGCUCUUCCACAAAUAGUUAAUGUUCCAAAUCCAGUGAGCUUCUGUCUCCAUGUUCUUCAAACAUGGUAUGGUUAAUUAUCCCAAGCCAAGGACUUGCAUCUUUAUCAAUAUACACAUGCUAUCUUCCACACAACUCAAACAGAGUCUACCUGGACCUAUUUUGUCAACCACCACCAUAUGCUUGCAGUACCAUAGAUAAGAAGUGUGUGUAUAAAUGGUUAUAGAAUGAAUAUUGUGUGAGGGGUACAAGGUAAGAUGUGUCUUCAUUGUGUACUUCUAGAAAUUUUUCCAUGAACCUGGAAGUCACUUCAGAUUUGGGUAAUGAUCUCUCAGUCAUUAAGCAGUGAGGCCUAAAUCCACUGAACAUGUGCAAUGAGAAUCAAGAGAGACUGUUCACCUGGUUGCAAUUUCUAGACAGGUAAGAGCUACUUAAGCCACCUAAUUUUCAUUUGCCUGGUAUGUGUUUCAACAUCUCUGAUGAAGCAGUUGGCAGAAAAUACUAAUGACCAUCUGAAAUCAAAGGCCACUAUUGCUUCUUCUCGUACUUAGAAUCUACUAAUGAGGUCCUGUUUCAUCAAAUUCCAAUAUUGAGACCAAUGAAAUGUUAUCAUUCAGUAGGUUCACACAAGUUGAACAAUUUCCUUGUAUUUUUUAAACUCAAGGAAAAUACAUGGAUUUGUUCAUUGUACCAUUUGACUUUUUUCUUAGAUCCUAAUUUACUGAAACUUCCUGAACUUAGGAUAAAUAUUCUAAUAUAAUACUUGAACUUGGAGUAAUAGUACGUUUUCCAGAACUUCCAAAUGUAUUUCCAGGAUGGUUGGAUUUCUAAACUGUGCAUGAGUAUGCACCUCAUCUACUCUAAAAAGGAUUUUUCUCUAAGAUUUACAGAUUCAUGAUAUUUGUAUGAAUGAACUCAUACAUGAAAUUAAGAUGAAGAUAAUACCUUAAUAGUGAGUUGUUGAGGUUUUGUUCAGAAUGUAUAUUCUGAGAUGUGCAAAAUAUUAACAUUCUGUAGAUGAUUUAAGAAAAGAAUGGAAAUCUAAAUCAUUCCUUAUGGUAGAUUGGAGUAUUAAGGCACGACAGGACCAGUCACCACAAUGUUUUGUAAUAUGUGUCAAUGGGCAGCAUUUUUCUGAGACUUAUAGGACUUUUGUUCAAUAAGUGGGUAUUAAUGACUUCAGAACCAUGCACAGACAAAGCAAAGUCUGGAUAGCUAUCCGUGAAAUCUAUGAAGCCAUGCUUUCAUGUAUUUUUCUAUAUUUUUCUCUCAUACUUCCUUGAAUUCAAGAGUUAUUUCUGAGGCUCUGAAAGCAUCUACAUAUUUCCUUUUUUGAGCCUUUUUAUCUUAACCUAGUAAUACUUGCCUGGAACAUUGAACUGAAUUUUACCUAUUUCAUUUAACACAAAUCACCAUAUGUAAAACAGUGUUUCUAACUCUUUUAAUGCUAAACAGACAUUGAAUUCAAAUUAUUCUUA
rnacentral:lncRNA from 1 species